rnacentral:rRNA from 1 species
ACGAACGCUGGCGGCGCGCCUAACACAUGCAAGUCGAACGAGCGAGAGAGAGCUUGCUUUCUUGAGCGAGUGGCGAACGGGUGAGUAACGCGUGAGGAACCUGCCUCAAAGAGGGGGACAACAGUUGGAAACGACUGCUAAUACCGCAUAAGCCCACGACCCGGCAUCGGGUUGAGGGAAAAGGAGCAAUCCGCUUUGAGAUGGCCUCGCGUCCGAUUAGCUAGUUGGUGAGGUAACGGCCCACCAAGGCGACGAUCGGUAGCCGGACUGAGAGGUUGAACGGCCACAUUGGGACUGAGACACGGCCCAGACUCCUACGGGAAGCAGCAGUGGGGAAUAUUGCACAAUGGGGGAAACCCUGAUGCAGCGACGCCGCGUGGAGGAAGAAGGUCUUCGGAUUGUAAACUCCUGUUGUUGAGGAAGAUAAUGACGGUACUCAACAAGGAAGUGACGGCUAACUACGUG